CUUGGUCAUUUAGAGGAAGUAAAAGUCGUAACAAGGUUUCCGUAGGUGAACCUGCGGAAGGAUCAUUAAGAAUACUAUUUAUACUAUUAAGAACACUAGAAAAACUAAAAAAAAUAACUUGUCAAUUAAUUAAUUUUAAAACUUUCAACAACGGAUCUCUUGGUUCUCGCAUCGAUGAAGAACGCAGCGAAUUGCGAUAAGUAAUAUGAAUUGCAGACUUUGUGAAUCAUCGAAUUUUUGAACGCACAUUGCACCUUGUGGUAUUCCACAAGGUAUGCCUGUUUGAGCGUCAUCCACCCUCAUACUUUUAGUAUGGUUGUGAGUGCACUCUUGUCUACUCGAAAUAAAGUUGUAUAUGUCUAGGAUUACCCACUCAUAUAUCUUUUUUUCUUGACCUCAAAUCAGGUAGGAUUACCCGCUGAACUUAAGCAUAUCAAUAAGCGGAGGAAAAGAAACCAACAGGGAUUGCCUUAGUAACGGCGAGUGAAGCGGCAAAAGCUCAAAUUUGAAAUCUGACCUUGGUCCGAGUUGUAAUUUGAAGAAGCGACUUUGGUAUGGGCUCUUGUCUAUGUUCCUUGGAACAGGACGUCACAGAGGGUGAGAAUCCCGUGCGAUGAGAUGCUCCAUGCUAUGUAAAGCGUUUUCGACGAGUCGAGUUGUUUGGGAAUGCAGCUCUAAGUGGGUGGUAAAUUCCAUCUAAAGCUAAAUAUUGGCGAGAGACCGAUAGCGAACAAGUACAGUGAUGGAAAGAUGAAAAGAACUUUGAAAAGAGAGUGAAAAAGUACGUGAAAUUGUUGAAAGGGAAGGGCUUGAGAUCAGACUUUGAUAACCAAUGGUAUUUUUUCGGAAAUAUUCUCUUGGUCUUCAGGGCCAGCAUGGGUUUUGCGGGCGGGACAAUUACUCAGGAAUGUGGCUCUUUUUGAGUGUUAUAGCCUGGGUGGAUGCCGCCAUGUGAGACCGAGGACUGCGGUACUAGGAUGCUGGCAUAAU
rnacentral:sRNA from 2 species